CCCGCACAAGCGGUGGAGCAUGUGGUUUAAUUCGAUGCAACGCGAAGAACCUUACCUGGGCUUGACAUCCCGAGAAUCCCCUGGAAACAGGGGAGUGCCUUUCGGGGAACUCGGAGACAGGUGCUGCAUGGCUGUCGUCAGCUCGUGUCGUGAGAUGUUGGGUUAAGUCCCGCAACGAGCGCAACCCUUGUCUUUAAUUGCCAGCAUUCAGUUGGGCACUUUAAAGAGACUGCCGGUGUUAAGCCGGAGGAAGGUGGGAUGACGUCAAGUCCUCAUGGCCUUUAUGCCCAGGGCUACACACGUGCUACAAUGGGUGGUACAAAGAGAUGCCAACUCGCGAGAGCGCGCCAAUCUCAGAAAGCCAUCCUCAGUUCGGAUUGGAGUCUGCAACUCGACUCCAUGAAGUUGGAAUCGCUAGUAAUCGCGGAUCAGCACGCCGCGGUGAAUACGUUCCCGGGCCUU
rnacentral:rRNA from 1 species